AACAAAGAAGUAAACUUUUACAUUUAGUUUCGGCCUAAAAAUAGGAUUAUCAUCCCAUGUUU
rnacentral:tRNA from 1 species